AACGUAGGUACCGAGCGUUAUCCGGAUUCACUGGGCGUAAAGCGCGUGCAGGUGGUUUGGUAAGUCGGGCAUGAAAACUCUUGGCUCAACUAAGAGACGCUGUCCGAUACUGCCGGACUUGAGGAUGUAAGAGGGAGGUGGAAUUCCGCAUGUAGUGGUGAAAUGCGUAGAUAUGCGGAGGAACACCAGUGGCGAAGGCGGCCUCCUGGUACACUCCUGACACUCAGACGCGAAAGCUAGGGGAGCGAACGGG
rnacentral:rRNA from 1 species